UUGUAUUGCGUUGCUAGAGGUGAAAUUCUUGGAUUUACGCAAGACAAACUAUUGCGAAAGCAUUUGCCAAGGAUGUUUUCAUUAAUCAAGAACGAAGGUUAGGGGAUCGAAAACGAUCAGAUACCGUUGUAGUCUUAACAGUAAACUAUGCCGACUAGGGAUCGGACGACAUCAAUAUUAUGCGUCA
rnacentral:rRNA from 1 species